GGAAUAUUAAACCUAGUUAAUAAGUGGGGAAUAUUGUUAGAAAUAAGUAGGUUGUGCCCUACUUAAUUAACUAACCAAAUUAGAGGGGGCAAUAUUGUUAAAAUUGAAACUUAACUUUAAUUAAUUAAAUAAAACACACCAAACACCCCACAAGGAGGUGUCUGGUCGUACAAGAAGAACAGGGGGGCGAUCCCCACACAUCAAAACCCUCAAUCUUCACCAAACUUGCAAAUUGAAGGCUCAAUCCAAGUCAAAAUCGAAAAUCAAGCAUAGAUUAUUGAUCCCCAUUGCAAGAGGGUUGUAAGGUAUGUAAAAUUUGAUGUUAAUUCUCUUUUGUCGCCUAACGAGCUAGAUGGAGGCUUGGGAUAGAAGCGGUCAAACGAAUCAAGCACGAGAAGAAAAGCAUAUUCGGAUGCGAGGUAAGUGGAGCUUACGCCCCUUUACAUUGCUUGCAAAAUUACUUAAUUUCAAGUAUUGCAUAUGAAUGCUACUAAGUGUUGGUAUACAAUGUUCCGACACGAUUCAAUGAGAGUCGGAACAAGGGAAAAUGGUAGAAAUCAUGAAUCAUGGUAAAAGGAGUAAAAAGGUAAAUUAGUCAUGUAAUGACGAACAAAUAAAAACGGUUUUAAGUAAAACAAGUUAAAGGAAAACCGGGUUAGGUUUAAAGGGAUGAAAUGGUAACUAAGUACCAUCUCAUAUGGAUAAAUGGCAAAUUAGACUAAAUGGGUCAAAUGGUGUUGUUAGCACCAUUUGACAAUUACAUUUGACAAUCGCUUGUUGAGUUUUGUAAUCACAGGAAAUAACAUAAGUAUGCGUUGCUUAAACUAUAAAGCUUUAAAGCAAAAGUUAUGUAAACGGGUCAAUACCUUGACCCGAGCCAGGUACGUUUAAAUAUGCUUUUGGUUAAACAUACAAUUUUUGGUCAAAUAUUUAGCGAAAGCCCUUCGUCGUAUAGUGAUUCAUAUUCAUGGGUCAAAUGCUCAAAAACGGUCAUUUGCGUAAAAUGAUCAACCAAUGGGUAAAUUUGGGAAAAAGGGAUUCAUUAUGUUAAAUCCGCCACAAAAUAGUUGUGGUGGAAUAUUUGUAGUUAAUUAGACAUGGACUUUUGUGGCGUCAAAAGAAAAGCACAAGUUCUAGACUAAAAUGAGUAAAUACCUCAAACGGGUCAAAAUAAGCAUAUGGGUGAAAUGGAUUAAAGAAGGUAUAUAAUUCUAUAAUCGGAACCUAAUAUGUUAGACAUUAUUGAAUUUAAUAGGUUGGUGAGAAAUAAGGGUCGAACAAACUUGUAUGUUUGAUAAAAUCACAAACGGGUCAAAUUUUGGUAAAAGAGUAUUAAGCCGAAGACUUAAAAGUCUUAAAUUUUAUCAAGCCGGAUAUCGGAUUUUAACACUAUAUGAUGGAGAAUCAAAUUUUAAACAUGCAGGAAGAAACGGUAAGUCAAACGGAUAAGCGGUUUGAAAGAUACGAAAGAUUUCGUGUCAAAUUACGGCAAAAUGGAAAAGUUGCAUACAGGGCCCACCGUAACUUACGGUGCCACCGUAAGUUAUGGUGGAGCUGAUAUGGUUACGGUGGUAACCUACUGUUGUACGGUAGAAGAGUAUGAACUCAGGGGCCACCGUAACUUACGGUGCCACCGUAAGUUACGGUGGAGAUUAUUUUUCAAGUCCUUGUUUUUCUUUUGAACAUCAAUUGUUUCCCGUACUCGUUUGGACAUGAUUUAAACCCCGUAAGACUAAAGCAUUUCAUGUUUAUGAAAUGUAGGUACACUUUGGGAUGCCGGAAGACGAUCAAGCUCAACGAAGAACCGAACACACCAUAGAUACACGCUUCCGCACUUUGCUAUGUUGUAAAUUUUAAACAACGAAUUCAACCACGUGAUGUAGAAUAACUUAUGAUUUGUAAA
rnacentral:lncRNA from 1 species